GUCGAGGUGGCAGAGAGUUAUGCAUUAGAUUGUAAAUCUAUGAAUGAGGGUUAGAUUCCUUUCUUCGUCA
rnacentral:tRNA from 1 species